rnacentral:rRNA from 1 species
GACGAACGCUGGCGGCGUGCUUAACACAUGCAAGUCGAACGAUGAAGCUGGAGCUUGCUCCGGUGGAUUAGUGGCGAACGGGUGAGUAACACGUGAGCAAUCUGCCCUUCACUCUGGGAUAACUGCGGGAAACUGUAGCUAAUACCGGAUACGAGGCUUGGAGGCAUCUCCAGGUCUGGAAAGAAUUUCGGUGAAGGAUGAGCUCGCGGCCUAUCAGCUUGUUGGUGAGGUAAUGGCUCACCAAGGCGACGACGGGUAGCCGGCCUGAGGGGGUGACCGGCCACACUGGGACUGAGACACGGCCCAGACUCAUACGGGAGGCAGCAGUGGGGAAUAUUGCACAAUGGGCGAAAGCCUGAUGCAGCAACGCCGCGUGAGGGAUGAAGGCCUUCGGGUUGUAAACCUCUUUUAGCAGGGAAGAAGCGAAAGUGACGGUACCUGCAGAAAAAGCACCGGCUAACUACGUGCCAGCCGCCGCAGUAA